CAGUGGGGAAUAUUGCACAAUGGGCGAAAGCCUGAUGCAGCGACGCCGCGUGAGGGAUGACGGCCUUCGGGUUGUAAACCUCUUUCAGUAGGGAAGAAGCGAAAGUGACGGUACCUGCAGAAGAAGCACCGGCUAACUACGUGCCAGCAGCCGCGGUAAUACGUAGGGUGCGAGCGUUAUCCGGAAUUAUUGGGCGUAAAGAGCUCGUAGGCGGUUUGUCGCGUCUGUCGUGAAAGUCCGGGGCUUAACCCCGGAUCUGCGGUGGGUACGGGCAGACUAGAGUGCAGUAGGGGAGACUGGAAUUCCUGGUGUAGCGGUGGAAUGCGCAGAUAUCAGGAGGAACACCGAUGGCGA
rnacentral:rRNA from 1 species